rnacentral:rRNA from 1 species
GAUGAACGCUGGCGGCGUGCCUAAUACAUGCAAGUCGAGCGAACAGAUGAGGAGCUUGCUCCUCUGACGUUAGCGGCGGACGGGUGAGUAACACGUGGAUAACCUACCUAUAAGACUGGGAUAACUUCGGGAAACCGGAGCUAAUACCGGAUAAUAUAUUGAACCGCAUGGUUCAAUAGUUAAAGACGGUUUUGCUGUCACUUAUAGAUGGAUCCGCGCCGCAUUAGCUAGUUGGUAAGGUAACGGCUUACCAAGGCAACGAUGCGUAGCCGACCUGAGAGGGUGAUCAGCCACACUGGAACUGAGACACGGUCCAGACUCCUACGGGAGGCAGCAGUAGGGAAUAUUCCGCAAUGGGCGAAAGCCUGACGGAGCAACGCCGCGUGAGUGAUGAAGGUCUUCGGAUCGUAAAACUCUGUUAUUAGGGAAGAACAAAUGUGUAAGUAACUAUGCACGUCUUGACGGUACCUAAUCAGAAAGCCACGGCUAACUACGUG